UAGAUUUGUCCUAAGUCAAACUUCUCUAUAUUUGACCAAGUCUGUAGAAAAAUGUGCUGAUAUCUACAACAUCAAAGGUGUGCUAAUAUAACAAAAUAAAAAUUGUGAAUCUAAUGAAACCAAUUUGGUGUUGUAGAUGUUGAUAUAUUUUUCAGUAGACUUGGUCAAACUUAAAGAAGUUUGACUUAGGACAAAUGAAG
rfam:Triticum urartu cultivar G1812 contig208385, whole genome shotgun sequence.